rnacentral:pre_miRNA from 1 species
AAAGUACUCCCUCCUCCCAAAAUUCUUGUCUUAGAUUUGUCUAGAUACGGAUGUAUCAAGUCACAUUUUAGUAUUAGAUACAUCUGUAUCUAGACAAAUCUAAGACAAGAAAUUUGGGACAGAGGGAGUAGUUG